UUUGUUUUUUUCUGCCUUCCUCUUCUUCUCUCUCCUUCUUCCUUCCUUCCUUCUUUCUUCUUCUUGAACGAAAAAACCGAAAAUGAAAGACAAAUCUCGGCUCCGAUCUUGCCUCUUCUUAGCUGAUUCCCAGCAAUUUCCAACUGGCCCCUCCCUCACAUUCGAAAAAAACUUAGCCGCGCUCCUCUUCCUCUUUAUGUUUUUUUCUUUCUCGGUUAAAAAAUGAAAUGAAUAAAGAAAAAUGGCAAGAAGAGAACAUAAAAGGAAAAACCGAAUGGCUGGCUCUCUCUCUCGGGAUUCUCGAAUCGGACACACAACAAAACCCUAGCCUCGACUCCCUCACGAACAAAAAAAACAGGAGAUCGGCGGCCGCCCUCACUUAGCCUCUUCCUCUUCUCUCUCAGCUCACCAUUUUUUUUCCCGAGGCCCCCCCUCAGAGCUGGUUCAAAAAAAAAGGGACCAUAGCUCACACACUCUCUCGGACAGCACAUUCUCUCGGCUCACGGAUUCUCCCGAAGAAAACCUUCAGGUCGAACGGCGGAACCCACUCUCAGCUCGGAAGCCCAUUUCGCCCUCAGCCCCGACAUUUUCUAUCGAAAAAAAUCACAGCCCUCAGCUCCGACUCUCUCGAUCCUCACGCACGCUCGGCUUCUUACCUCGAUUCCUCCCUCAUGCGGGCAGGCUCGAGCUCCCCGUCAUGCGGCUGAUCGACACAGCCACCCGGACCACCCCUCUCUUUCUCUCUAUUUUCAUUUUUUUUCUUCUAACCAGAGAUUCGUGCUUUCCGGGUUGAAUAGGCACGCCGCCCAGUAGCCCAGCUCGCGCUCAUUGGCCCAGCCCAGCCUUGCGGCCCAGUUCGGCCCCGGUCCAGCAGCCCAGUGCAGCCUAGUCCAGAUCUCUGCGGGCCAACAGCUAGUUCGUGCUGGCCUAGUCCGCCCCCCAUCGGCCCAGUCCAGCAGCUAACGCCCCAGUCGCCCCCACAAGAUCUCGACCCAGUUCGGCCCAGCAAUCCAACUCGCCCAGAACCAUUUUAUUUACAAAACUGCCCCCACUCUUCUCAAACAAGGACACUAGCAAGUUCCUUUACUGGAUUGAGGAUUAAACAUGCAUUUUGAGAAGCGAGCGCAGUUGCGGACUUCCUUGGUAGGACAGCAAUUGCCGCCGUCUACUUUGAUUCCCCUCCUGUUGGGGCAUUAGAAUUUAUAUUAUUAGAUUAGAUGAGUGCUUAUACUGCCCGUACUAUUUGUACUAAUCGAAAUGUCUGGGUGGAUCCUGAAUAGUUGAAAUUCGUUAAUAAUAUUCCUUUUCUACCAAAAAAAAAAAAAACAGGGAGAGAGUGAGAUCCCAUUUCAUGAUCUCAAUGUCAGUGAAGUUUCCAAGGUGGCAGUUCAUGAGCAGCCACCAUCCCCGGCUGAUGGCGGAUGGCAAUUUCUGGGACCUCAUUUUCGGAGGUAAUGGCAGCCGGCGAGGCCACCAGUCUAGAGAUUGAGAUCUCAUUUCGGAAUCCCCUAAUUUGCCAUCACAUUGAGAUUUGUCAAUUUGUUGUACGGGAGAAAGGGAGAAAAAAAUCUCAGCAAUGUUAAGCCGAAGUCCGGCCACUGCCAGACUAAGUUUGUGACAA